GAUGAACGCUGGCGGCGUGCCUAAUACAUGCAAGUCGAGCGAAUGGAUUAAGAGCUUGCUCUUAUGAAGUUAGCGGCGGACGGGUGAGUAACACGUGGGUAACCUGCCCAUAAGACUGGGAUAACUCCGGGAAACCGGGGCUAAUACCGGAUAACAUUUUGAACCGCAUGGUUCGAAAUUGAAAGGCGGCUUCGGCUGUCACUUAUGGAUGGACCCGCGUCGCAUUAGCUAGUUGGUGAGGUAACGGCUCACCAAGGCAACGAUGCGUAGCCGACCUGAGGGUGAUCGGCCACACUGGGACUGAAACACGGCCCAGACUCCUACGGGAGGCAGCAGUAGGGAAUCUUCCGCAAUGGACGAAAGUCUGACGGAGCAACGCCGCGUGAGUGAUGAAGGCUUUCGGGUCGUAAAACUCUGUUGUUAGGGAAGAACAAGUGCUAGUUGAAUAAGCUGACACCUUGACGGUACCUAACCAGAAAGCCACGGCUAACUACGUGCCAGCCGCCGCUGUAA
rnacentral:rRNA from 1 species